rnacentral:rRNA from 1 species
AUUGAACGCUGGCGGCAUGCUUUACACAUGCAAGUCGAACGGUAACAGGCCGCAAGGUGCUGCCGAGCUGCGAACGGGCGAGUAAUUCAUUGGAAUGUGCCCAGCCGUGGGGGAUAACUACUUGACAGAGUAGCUAAUACCCCAUACGAUCUAAGCAUGAAAACGGGGGACCGUAAGGCCUCGCGCGAUUUUGGCGUCCGAUGUCAGAUUAGGUAGUUGGUGGGGUAAAGGCUCACCAAGCCAACGAUCUGUAGCUGGUCUGAGAGGACGACCAGCCACACUGGGACUGAGACACGGCCCAGACUCCUACGGGAGGCAGCAGUGGGGAAUUUUGGACAAUGGGCGCAAGCCUGAUCCAGCAAUGCCGCGUGCAGGAAGAAGGCCUUCGGGUUGUAAACUGCUUUUGUACGGAACGAAACGGCUCUGGUUAAUACCCGGGGCUAAUGACGGUACCGUAAGAAUAAGCACCGGCUAACUACGUG